GCCCGGAUAGCUCAGUCGGUAGAGCAGAGGACUGAAAAUCCUUGUGUCGGUGGUUCGAUUCCGCCUUCGGGCA
rnacentral:tRNA from 1 species